rnacentral:lncRNA from 1 species
GGGAGGUGCAGCCCCCAGGAGGCCCGCAGUUUUGGCAGGGGGAUGUUAAGAGAAACUUCUCUGAUGGUUUCUUUGUCUCCUGCAGGUGCAGGUGAAAUGGUCUGCUAAGAAAGGUGGUAGAUGGUGUGGGUUUGAGGUGUGUGGACAAUUAGGACAUUAGGAGAAUCACCGGGAAAUGUGGCAUGUGGAGCAGAGAAGUGGUGGGGGCGCUUGUAAAUGUUGGGGGCACACCAACGACAGUGCCUGAAGCAUUCCAGUGACACAAACUGCUCUGCCGCGCUGUGACGCUCUCCAGCCACGUUCAGCUGCUCAGGUAAAAAAGAGAGCAGGUAAUAGGGUUCAGUCAGGGCUGGGAUUUUCAGAGAGUUGGGGAAAGCAGAGGAGCAGGAGCCUCUUAGGUAGUGGCAUGAGCAUAGCUGAAAUGAUGAAUGCAUCUAAGAGAGAUGAGGAUGGUCUACGGCCAUACCACCCUGAAUGCGCCUGAUCUUGUCUGAUCUUGGAAGCUAAGCAGGGUCAGGCCUUGCUAGUACUUGGAUGGGAGAGAUGAGGAUGAACAUGAAAAACAGCACUCCAGGACUUACUGGUGGAAGGUUUCCAAUUAAGAAGGCAGCCAUUUCGGUUUAUAUGUGAAAACAACACACUCGCGCUCACCAACGCAUCCAGGCUGGUCUUGCUUUGCGAACCCAGGCUUGUUCCCUGAGCCAUUUGUGAGACAUCAAAAAUAGAGCUAUUUCCCUGAGAUCUGCCCUUUGGGCCAAGGUAUUUCCCUCAGAAGCAAAAGGAUGAGAAGGAGGAGGACCUGCUCAAGGAGAUGUGAGGCUCGCCCACAAUUUCUGUCAAGCUCUUAAGCUCACCACCCAUUUAUGGCAUUUUCUGCCAUUCAUCAAACUGAAUUUCUCCUUUACCCAGGCACAGGCACAGGGAAUGAACUGCCACAACACCUCCCAGAACAUACUCACCACAUUUACAGGACCCGGUUUGAUUGUAUAUUAAGCCCAUGGGGAUGUUCCAGCUUGCAGAAGUGCCAACUGCAGUGUGGCAGGACUUCUUGCCUCAAAGAGAGUUCCAGGGAGAGAAGGGGAAGGAGGAGGAAGAAUGUACGAUCCAGUGAGAUCUGGCCAGCCCUCCUGCACCGGGCCAUUAAAUGCCAUCUCCAUAUGGUGGCUAUGCUGGAGCUGGUAUUCUCCAUUUCCAUCCUGUCCCCCUUCUGGCUGGAAAUAUGGAAACUACACUUCCAAUGUUUCCUUGCAGCUGUGUUCUUAGUGUAAAAGGAUGUGUGAAAUUUGGAAGGUGGAAGUCACAUAGAGGUCUUUGCCUUCCCCCUCACCUCUUUUCUGCUAGGAAAUAAAUUCUUGGAGAUGUUAGGUUUUUCUGUCCAGAUCUCUAGUAUCCCUUCUCCAUCCUAGAGGAUUAGAAGCUAUUACAGCAAAUGCAGCAGCAGCAGCCACUAUCAAUUCUGGCUUCCUAUCCCUUGGUCACAGCUACAGGAUGUGUCUUGAAAUCACUGUACUAGUAGAGGUCUUGCAGGUAGUAGGUCUCCUAGGGAGUCAGCUCUCUUUCACUAUGGGUGGGAGUCAUUCCAGGAACCUAGUGUCCACUUUUUGUUAACAUUUAAUUCCCUGUAUUAAAUCCCUUCCUGCUUAAAAUAGUGCUUCAUUUCUUUACUGACCCCUCAGUGAUGUACUCUGUCUGUCCUUUCAAGCAGACAGCAAGACCAUCUCAGAGAAGACUUUGCUGGCAG